UUUUUGGAGAGUUUGAUCCUGGCUCAGAGUGAACGCUGGCGGCGUGGAUUAGGCAUGCAAGUCGAGCGA
rnacentral:rRNA from 1 species